UUCGUGGGCACACAUAAAAAAAGAGAGAGAGAAAAAACCACUUCAUUCACCACCCUAUCCAGAAGCCUCUUCACUUCCAUCUAAUCCUUCUCCUCUUCUCAUCCCCUCCAGCCUCCUCUUCCUCUUCCCCACUCCAAAUCCUUCAAAUCCAUCCAACCUCUUCCUCUUCCCCACUCCAAAUCCUUCAAAUCCACCCAUGUAGGUUUCUCCCCUCGAAUCCCCUUCAUAUUGUAGCUCUCCUGUGGCUAGGGUUUGCUCCAAUGGUGGACUAGAAGAUGUUGCUGCGUCGAUCUGUGGCUGUAGCGCCUGUGGAUUUGCUCCAAGUCCAGAGCUGAAGCUGCAGUUAAUCCUUGCCUCAUCUCCAUCCAGAUCAGGACCUAAUCCCGGGACUCCGUCGACUCCUCUUGCUGCACUUGUUAAGCUGUAGGGAAGCAGAAUGACAAGUCGUGAAUGGAUGUAUAGUGGUUGGACACGUGGCAAAGCUCCCACUAAUGAAUGGAUUGAUAAUACAACACAGUUCUUAAACCGUGCAUUUUCUAUGCAAGAAGUUGUUAAAGAUGGUACUAUUAAGUGUCCAUGCGCCCAAUGUCGGAAUUAUUUUAGGCACAAAAGGGAUACAAUAGAGUUGCACUUGUGCAAAUACGGAUAUAAAGAGAACUAUGGAAUAUGGACAUCACAUGGUGAGAGACCAGUGAUAAAUGACAAUGAUCCUGGGCCUUCAUUAAUAGAUCAUGAGGGAUUUGGUGAAUCUGAUAGGAUGGAUAAUAUGUUGGUUGACUUAGCCAGUGCACAACCACCAGAAAGUAGUGAAGAACCUGCAUAUUAUGCUAAAGCAUUCUAUAGGAUGGUUGCUAGUGCUGAUGAAUUGAUCCAUGAGAAUACAACACACUCAUGUCUCUCAGCUGUAGCUCGUUUGCUAGCUAUGAAGUCACAGUAUAACAUGUCAGUUGCACAUUAUGAUGAUGUUUUAGGGAUAAUCCAUGAAUUCUUACCUCCUAAGUCUAAGUUGGCUAAGGACUUUUACCGUUCAAAAAAAUUGCUAGAAGGUCUUGGUAUGCCAUAUGUUAAAAUUGAUGUUUGUUACAACAACUGCAUGCUUUACUACAAGGAAGAUGAGCAUAAAAAGAAGUGUGAUUUCUGUGGUACUUCUCGUUAUGAGAAUGUCCAAAACAAAACCCCACGUAAAGUUUUGCACUACCUGCCUAUUAAGGAUAGAUUACAAAGGUUAUAUGCACAUGAGGAGAUAGCAAGAUUACGGCAGUCCCAUAGUCGCUCACAAUCUGGUAACAUGGUUCACCCAUGUGAUGGCGAGGCAUGGCAACAAUUUGAUAAGGACUUUCAAGAUUUUGCACAAGAUCCAAGAAAUGUUCGUCUUGCUUUAGCAACUGAUGGGUUUACUCCAUAUAGUUUAGGUGCUGCUCCAUACUCUUGCUGGCCAGUAUUUAUAACUCCCUUAAAUUUUCCUCCCGGUGUGUGUAUGAGGCCCGAGUACACAUUCCUUACUCUUGUCAUCCCUGGACCAGAGCAUCCAGGGAAAACAUUAAGUGUUCUAAUGCAACCUUUAGUUGAUGAACUUCUGAAGUUAUGGGAGGGGGUAGAAACCUGGGAUGCUUUACGCAAGCAAAACUUUACAAUGAGGGCAAUAUUUCUAUGGUCAAUCCAUGAUUUUCCUGCAUAUGGGAUAUUUGCUGGGUGGAGCACUCAUGGUCGUUUGGCAUGUCCAAUUUGUAUGGGUGAUUCUCAAUCUUUUUAGCUCCGUAAUGGUAGAAAGCCUUGUUGAUUUGAUUGUCAUAGAUGCUUUCUACCCAACGAACAUGAAUUCAGAACUCAACUAAAUGCAUUUAGAAAGAACACAUUUAUACUUGAUGAGCCACCAAGGAUUCUGACAGGAGAAGAAAUUAAAGAAGAAAUGUACGCGUGUGUGGAUGAUAUGGAAAACUUUGGUAAAACACACCAUUGGACUCAUAUAAGCUGUUUUUGGCAACUUCCAUACUUUGAUAAGCUGAAGCUGCGGCACAAUAUUGAUUUGAUGCACAAUGAGAAAAAUGUAGCUGAAUCUAUAUGGAACACAUGCUUUGACAUACAAGAUAAUACAAAGGAUAAUGUGAAGGCAAGGAAAGAUUUGGCUGAAAUUUGUAGUCGUCCAUUACUGCAAUUAGUGUCGAAGGGUAAUGGAAAAUGGCAUAAACCAAGGGCAUCAUUUUGUAUUGAUAGGAAUGACAAGACAACAAUUCUCAAAUGGUUUCAAGAACUAAAGCUUCCUGAUGGAUAUGCUGCCAAUAUUAGGCGUGGGGUUAACCUACUACAAAGAAAAUUUUUUGGCCUAAAAAGUCAUGACUACCAUGUUUUCAUGGAACGUUUGCUACCUGUUGCAUUCCGUGGAUUUAUUCCAGAGAGUGUUUGGAAGUGUUUGGCAGAGCUCAGUUUCUUUUAUAGGCAGUUAUGUGCAAAAGAACUAAACAAGGAUACCAUCCGCUCUUUAGAAGAGAAUGUAGCUGUUCUUAUUUGUAAAUUGGAAAAAAUAUUCCCACCUGGUUUCUUUAAUCCAAUGCAACAUCUCAUCAUACAUCUUCCCUAUGAAGCUCGACUUGGAGGUCCUGUCCAAUUUCGUUGGAAUUAUCCAUAUGAGAGGUUUAUCCAAAAACUUAGAAAGAAAGUGCGAAAUAAAGCUUGAGUUGAGGGUUCCAUUGUUGAGGCCUACCUAGUUGAGGAAACAUCUAAUUUUCUUUCAUUCUAUUUCAAUCCUAAUGUUUGGUCUGCUAGAAACAAGAUGCAUCAUUAUGAUGAUGGCAGCUCACAAUUUGAUAGUACAUGCAACCUAGAAAUAUUUCAGUACCCUGGCCGGUGUAUUAGCCCACGGGGCUGCCGUGCACUCACAAUAGAACAGUACAAGGCUGCUACCUUAUACAUAUUGACAAACACACCAGAAAUGGAUGAUUUCUUCAAUAAAUAUGAUAAGGAACAAUGGAAGAGCCGAAUUUCACCAACACCAAAUCAGUUGCGAGACUUGCGAUUAAAUGGAUGGAAAUCUGGUCGUGGCAUUAGAAAUGGGCCUAAUUUCUUUGAUUGGUUCAGAACUGAAUGCAUGAAGUCAUCUAGUAUACACAAUGCUUUGCGUCAAAUGUCUUAUGGUUUUCGAAGUACAGUUUCCACUUAUGGAGUUUAUGAUAUCAAUGGAUAUAGGUUUCGUUCAGAGAAGUAUGAGAGCAAGAAAUCAGGGUUAACAACAACCAACAGUGGGGUGUGUGUGUCUUGUGUUGGCGAAAACAAUGAUGUGCUAGAGUACUAUAGUAUUAUUAAAGACAUACUCAAGAUUAGUUGGGAAGGCAGCAUGAACCUUGAAUUGGUUUUGUUUGACUGUUAUUGGUUUGACCCAACAUCUACCGGUGUUUGGCGUACUGCCAAUAUGGGUUUAGUUGAAAUUAAGCACAUGUCUAGGCUUUCAAAUUUUGAACCAUUUGUGAUGGCUAGUCAAGUUACACAAGUAUAUUAUUUGCCUUACCCAUGCACUACAAGACGUGAUCUAUCAGAAUGGUGGGUUGUACAUCAUGUCAAUCCACGGGGUUAUGUCCAGAAAGUUGAGAACACAAAUAAUGAUUCUAACCCAAAUGAUGAUCAAACCCAAGAUGUAUCAUUCUAUCAAGAAGAUGGAUUGGAAGGCACUUUUAUUAUUGACCUUGGGGCUGACUUAGGAAAUAUGACUCCACCUAUUUUGGAUGAGAUAACCAAUGCAAAAGACUUAGAAUUCCUAGAAAAGCAAACGCAGGCUGAAGAUAAUUACGAUGAAGAUGACAAUGAAGAAGAAGAAGAAGAAGAAGAAGAAGAAGAAGAAGAAGAAGAAGAUGAAGAAGAUGAAGGGACACAGCCCCCAGCUUAUGAUCCAAAUGAUUUUUAGUUUAAGCUAUUGAGAUUGAAAUAUCUAUAAAUAUCUAUUGUAUUUUGUGUCUGUUAAUUUAUUUAUGCAGCUGCCAACUUUCAUAUGACUUUUUAACCUUUAAGUACCUAAGGUCAUUUUGUACUUUAUAAAGGUUUUAUAUUAAGCACUGAUGGAUUAUUAUUUGUUUGAAUGAUUCCAUGCUAUGAAAAUAUAUGCUAUUAUUCUUCUUUUUUUAUGGACCGAUGGUGCUCUUCUAAAACUAAUAAAUGGAUAUAACAUUGCAGGAAAUGAACAGCAUUCAUCGGAAGCGGCUUGCAAGACAGCAACAAGGCAGGAACAUCUCCACAAGGAGCAAUGCUAGUGCUACUAAUGCAAAAAAACAGAGUCCCGGAAAUGAUCAAUGGAGGUGGCAGUAAUAACUUCGGUGCUAACUCCUCCCAGAGACUUUGUGCUGGUAAUAGUAGCAAUACUGAUAAUGCCUCCCAAGCCACCAAUAUUUCUAGAAGUGGCAUGAGCAGUGCGCCACCAAAUAAAAGAGGGAGGAAGAAGGGCUCAAGAACUGCACUAAAAGUACCUCCGCGGGGUCGAAAGAUCGCGCUGAAACCUCGGGGUGAUGAGCAAUUUGAGUACAUAACAUACCCUCUAUUGAAAUCAGACCCCAAAUAUGGUACACAUAUGGGAAUUAUUCUUAAACGAGAAUACCCUUGCAUUAUUGAAGAGAAGGAUGAGAAUGGUUUAAUCAUCAGCAGCCGUCCAGCAACCUCAUGGUUUGAUUACUAUGAAAAGGAAGACGACUCAGGAGUCACAAAGGCAGAUAAGAAUGCAUUCUGUGUCAGUGAGGCGGACAAGGUAGAGGCUGGCCGUGUUUUGGAAAAUUAUGCAGCGAAAUCAGCUUCGUGUCGAUUCUGUCAAGGUGUACCAUGAUAAAAUUGGGGAGCAGAUUGAUGAUGCAUUAGCACGCCCAAAGGAACUUGAAGUUGAUGAAUAUAAGGAUGGCCCCGUUGAUUGGUGCAGAGACAAUGGAUUUUCAUACCUUGCAGAUUAUUGGUGUACUGAAGAGUUCAAGGCAAAAAGAAAGAGAGGCCAACAAGCACGCCUUAAUUCUGAGGAUGUUGCCCAAAAACGAGGAGGUUCCCGGCCAUUCACAGAGACACAACAAUAUAUGGGAGUAAAAUUUGGACCUGAGAAAGCUACAACACUAAACACUUUUAGUGCAAUGAAGACUGGCUUUAAAAAUAUAGAUAAUGAUGGAAAUAUUGGACCAAUCCCAAGCCAGAAAGCACAAAAGCGUGUGACUGAUUAUUUAACAGGUCUUAGGGCUAAAUAUCCAAAUGAUUGGCAACAAAGAGACCUAGAUGAGAAUGUAUUGUACAGCACCAAUGGUGGCUUGCCACAUGGUCGCGUACAGAUAGCGAAUGGACCUGUUAGGAAGGCUAAUAUUUUGGCUGUGGCCAAAUCAACAAAUGUUCGACCUGCCAAUUCAAUUGCUUUCCAAAAUAUGGCUCAACAAACUCAGAAUAUGGCUCGACAAAAUGAACAACUACUCCGGGAGAAUCAAUACAUGCGCAAAAAACAGGAACGAACUGACAAGUUGUUAUUGGUAUUAAGUUACAAUAAUACUUUUACUCUCAGUUUUAGUUUUUAGUUUCUAAACCCAGUUGGCUACUUUUUAAAUGUAGGCACUUUAUGAAAAGUUGGGUGAACAAGUACCACAAGAAUUGGACUGUCCAGUAGAAGAGGAAGAUCCAUUUGCACAGAGUGAGAACAGACAAUGCAGCACUUACAGUGAGGGAUUGGGCUCAUGUUGAUUGUUGUAACAGUUGGCCUUGUAGUCACAUUCUCAAAUAAUUGAGAUGGGAACAAGUUCUUCCCAUGUAGUCUCACAGCCAGUUGAGGACAAUGGGAACAACAACAGUGAUGGAUGUAACACCGCCUCUGGCAAUGGUGGCAAUAACAACGGCGACAACAACUGCAAUGGCAAUAAUACUAGCAGUUUGAAUGCCAAUGAUGGAAGCAACAUCGGUAGGAACAACAACUCUGGUGGUUGUAAUACUAGCACAUCUUGAAUGCCUCUCCAUGAUGCUGCCACUCACUUCACUAACAGAUCAUGCAAGAUGGGCUAAGGCUUUUGGAUAUACUGACUAUGGAGUUGUGUCAUACUAAUACUUUUGGAUAGGUUGUAUUUAUGGUUCUAGACCUCGAUAGAGUGUGGGACUCCAAAAUUAGUACUAAGUUUCUUACAUAGUCUCUUGGCCAUGCAAACUCCACAAAGUGAUACUUUUGUGUUAUGUUCAAAUAGUGAACUGGAACUACAUUAUACUGUUAUGAGGGAUCUAUGUGUAUCACUUGAUCCAUAAGUUAAUGAAAUAUUGAACUUGAACUGGA